GUCAUCGAACCUGCAUCUUCAUGGAUACUAGUUAGGUUCAUUAGUGCUGAGCAACAAAGGGAAUUCCAUCUAUUCUGUAUUCUUAGUUUAUAGUCAACAUGCAGUUUUUUUUAGUGAAUAUUAGAUAAGGUAGGUCUUUAUCUUGUUUUGUUGUUUUGAAAGAUACUACCUCUUAGCCAUUACUAUCAGGAAGAAAUGCUGCAGACCACCAUGAACUCUCUUGAUUAUGAAAUAGCAAUUCUUAAUAAGAUUCACUGAGAAAAAUGCAUUUUUACAUUAUAAGAAUAAUUACCAUUUAUGAAGGGCUAAACAUUAGACAUUGUGUUGGACUUUUUUAGCUAAUCUUCAUAAUGAAUGACAAAAUUGAGUCCUAUAGUUCUGUGAGCCUGAGGGUUCUGUGUAGUUCAUGCCACCUUCCUGGGUAGGAACAACCUAUCUGAUCAACGUUAAUAGUUAAGUUGUUUGAAAUGCAGUCUGAGUUUUAAAAAUGGGGCAAAGAGGGGUAUUUUAAAAUUCUCAAGAAGUUUUUCCUUGUAUUAUUUUGCUAAGUUGUUAUGGAGAGACAUUUUUGCCUACAGUGGUAUAUUGCUGACCAAAGUUCUAAUUUCCUACUUAGUGGAGUUUCUUAGUCACCUUUAUGAUCUGAUGACUGCUUCCUACCUUUCCCUGAUCAUUUGAGAGUCUUAAAUUAUAUCUGGUCUGAGAAGUGUGUGGCAUCCUCUUGUCUAUUCACCCACUCAGACCUCGCUAAUGCAGGCACCUGUCUAUAAAAGCAACCAGCCCUGCCCUUUUCCAAAGUCUCUGGAUUUCUUCCUUCAGACGCCAUAGACAUUUGCCCUCGUAAUUGCAGUCAUUCCAGGGUGGAAAACUUGUCCCCAAGCUGUUUCAUCAAGUUCUUUUCAGGUAUUUAAGCUGUACCCUAGUUCUGUUUGUCGGUUUUAUUCCCAUUUUCUUGUUAAAAGACUCCCACGUGUUACAACUAUUAUAAGGGACUUCACUACAUACCAUCCUGCUGAUUGGCCUUUGGCCUCCACAAAUGAUUCCUCCUCUUGAUCUGGACCAAGGGUCCUUCAGCCUUAGGGUUGCAGUAAACUAGGUUUGGUGCCGCUGCAGAAUAUCAGUUUUUGUUUUAGUUUAAAUUCACAUUUAAGGCAGAUAAGGAUAAGAAGGGGGGCUUACUGAAUCAACAUUGUCUGGAAAGCAAGCUCUAGCCUAGAUGGGAUGAGGAAUCACAAGUGAGCACUGUGGUCAUGGCCCACAUCUAAAUGAGAAAAUAGCAUCUGAAAGAAGAUGUUGAAAUUUUUUAAAUAAAAACCAGUGAUCUUACAAAAACAAUAUGUUAGACACCUCGGCCUGGCAUUCUGCCUGAAUCUGCUGAAACAACACUUGCAUCAAAUUAACAGCAUGUCCUGAGCUGCUGUUUAACCAGUGUUUAUCAAGUGCCCCCUCUAGCACAGCUGUAAAUCCACCAAACUGCCUGACCUCCUGGAGUGUCCCCUCGAGUGCAGAGACUCUUACACGUUUUUCCUGAAGCAGCUUGAUUCACUCAGUGGGAAAGGGUUUAUCUUGGCCUGGGGAAUGCCUGGCUCCAAGGGCUUUUCUGUGGUUAUCCAAGCUAGAAACAACCAGAGCAGAGAGAAAGGAUAACAAGUGUCAGGCCCCCAGGGUGACUAGCUACCAGCAACCACCCUCAUGCCCACAUGAUCUCUAGCUACAUGGCUGUAUUUAUAGGUUGAUGAUCUCCUAGGAGGCUAUAUGCCCUAUGACACACACACACACCCCGCCCCCACCCCCACUGCCUAGAUAGGAUGUUUCCCAGCCAGGGAAGUUGGAAGGAACUUUGCUGAGAUGGGGCUGGGCAUGGUGAAGAGAAGCAAAACUUAAAAGUAUUUCACCUUAUUUCCUGAGCUAUAUUAUUACCUGUCCCUCUUACUCCCUGUGCUCUAAGGCAUUUACACAUAAGCAUCCAUUGUGAUUUUACCCAGACAGUGGAACAUGAAGCAGGCAAUUCUGAGUCAUUGCUUUCCUGCUGGCUAAGCAACCUCUGGUACAAAACAUCGCAUACGUUUUGAUAGCUAGCAUACCCUGAAAACUGUCUUACUGAGGGCUGGACAAGGAAUAAGCACCACUGUCAAAUUUUCUAUGUUGGGACUCUCACAGAAGCCAAAUGACCCAAGUGUGAAAGCACACUGGGCAGCAAGUACACCACGUGCUCUGCUGAUGCAUCGUAGUGUCAGGACCACCUGUGCCUGACUUGGCAGUAGUGCCAUAGCAUAUGGAGGUGCCAAAUCUGGGCAUGCCAAGGCUCACUCAGGGAAGGCAGAAAUGCUGCACAAUCCUUUGUCUUCUUAUCCCCCCCCCCAUUUCUGUAUAGUGCCAUUUUCUUCCCAGCAUAAGGCCCUGGAGAAGCGCCUAGAGCUUAUUUAAUCCUUAUGUAGGUGAAACUUUAUAAAGAGGAAGCAGAAUAGAAGGCUGCAUUAGAUGGUCCCUGCCAUGGCUGUUCUACUUGAAACAUCCCUUCUCAUUGUCCAGAACUGCAAGGAGUCUGAAAUUUUACCGUGCUUAUAAGCUACCACAUUUCAUAUAUUCUGGGAGAAUAUAUGAGACCCCUUAGAGACAAAGAGUUUUAUUUCUCACAGUACAAUGGGUAGCAUGAGCUGCAUAAUCACCUCAAUUCCCUUUGCCCUCACGUCCCUCGUGGAGAGUGCAGAGCUUGGCCCAGGUGGACAAGUGAGUUUGUGUCACACACACACGAUGAGUUUGUGUCACAGAUGAGAAACUUCGAGCUUAGGAAACACCAGUCUUGUAAAGGGGCUGAUGGCAAGCCUGCUUAACCUUUGCCCCAGAGAAAGACAUUAAAUGUUAUCUUGGUUAAGAAACAAAUUUGUCCUUGAUCUGGGGGGCAGGAUGGAAGGGUAAUGUAUCUGUCUUAUAUGAUUUUUCUAUAUAGACUCUGAAAAGGCAGUACAGAACAAAACUGUCAAUCCCUCUUGAUCAGAAGACAUGAGAAACGCAAGAAACCCAUGAAUUCUCUCCCACCACCUGUUGCCCCUGGUAAAGGAAUGGGAUACUGCAGGUCAAAAAAUCCCAUGUGGCCCAGCCGUAGCUGAUUUGACUCAUGGGGGCACCGGGCCCAAGGCCCAUCCAUUCAGAGGCUGAUCAGUGGCCAGGUGCUAAAGAAAAUUCUACCUCUAACCACUGGCCUGAUUUCCAUGUAGUUCCUCCCUGGAAAGUGUGCAGAAGUCCCCAUGGGAAGCAAUCUUUCUUCAGUUCUGAGCAUGGAGGAGAUAUGAAAUUAGCCAGGAAUGUUGUGUAUGACAGUAAAGAACAUGAAUAAGUGGUUCCCGAACCUGGACAGAAAGAAAUGGUGCCUCCAUAGUACGAAAAAUCUUCAAAUGCCCUGAUAGGAUCAUAAACAAAUAGUGCCAAGAAAUACCCAGUCAUGAUCCCAAUGCCCUCAAACUACGGGUGGAAUCAUCCACUGUCCUUAGCAUCCUAGACCUCGGGCCCAGAGGCACUGCAAGGAGCAGUCCUGUCCUGUCACCUUGGAGCUUCUGCUGCACUACGGGGAGGAAACCCUUAUGAAGUGCGACAUGUUCCCAUGCUUUAGAGAAUUCACUCAAAAAAUGAAUUUCACUCAAGGCAGAAAUGGAGAUCCCAUGGUUUCAUCCAAUCACAGUCAUAUUUCACCUUUUUAAGAAUGGUAGAACCCAAAGCAAUCUACAGAUUCAAUGCAAUCCCUAUCAAAUUACCCAUGAC